rnacentral:rRNA from 1 species
AGGACUAACGCUGGCGGCGUGCCUAACACAUGCAAGUCGAACGGGGUAGCAAUACCCAGUGGCAGACGGGUGAGUAACACGUGGUCAACCUACCUCUAUGUGGGGGAUAACUAGCCGAAAGGUUAGCUAAUACCGCAUACGAUCGCUUUGGGGCAUCCCUAGGCGAUGAAAGGAGCAAUCCGCAUAGAGAGGGGACUGCGUCCCAUUAGUUAGUUGGUGGGGUAACGGCCUACCAAGACUCCGAUGGGUAGCUGGCUUGAGAGAGCGACCAGCCACACUGGAACUGAGACACGGUCCAGACUCCUAUGGGAGGCAGCAGUGAGGAAUUUUCCGCAAUGGGCGAAAGCCUGACGGAGCGACGCCGCGUGUGGGAAGAAGGCCUUCGGGUCGUAAACCACUGUCGAAGGGGACGAUAAUGACGGUACCCUUGGAGGAAGCCCGGCUAACGUACGUGCCAGCAGCCGC